GUCGCACAAGCCGAAAUGGUGAGGCACCUGGCUUCCACUCAGGAGUAUCGAGUUCGAUUCUCGAGUGCGGCU
rnacentral:tRNA from 1 species